rnacentral:rRNA from 1 species
GGAAUAUUGGUCAAUGGACGAGAGUCUGAACCAGCCAAGUAGCGUGCAGGAUGACGGCCCUAUGGGUUGUAAACUGCUUUUAUACAGGGAUAAAGUAGGGAACGUGUUCCCUUUUGCAGGUACUGUAUGAAUAAGGACCGGCUAAUUCCGUGCCAGCAGCCGCGGUAAUACGGAAGGUCCGGGCGUUAUCCGGAUUUAUUGGGUUUAAAGGGAGCGCAGGCCGGAGGUCAAGCGUGACGUGAAAUGUAGCCGCUCAACGGCUGAGUUGCGUCGCGAACUGGUUUCCUUGAGUGAGUACGACGUCAGCGGAAUUCGUGGUGUAGCGGUGAAAUGCUUAGAUAUCACGAAGAACCCCGAUUGCGAAGGCAGCUGACGAGUCCUUUACUGACGCUAAAGCUCGAAGGUGCGGGUAUCGAACA